rnacentral:rRNA from 1 species
AAUGAACGCUGGCGGCGCGCCUAAUACAUGCAAGUCGAGCGAGAAGACGUAGCAAUACGUUUGUAAAGCGGCGAACGGGUGAGGAAUACAUGGGUAACCUACCCUCGAGUGGGGAAUAACUAGCCGAAAGGUUAGCUAAUACCGCGUACGCUCCUUGGACUUCGGUUCAGGGAGGAAAGCGAUACCGUGGGUAUCGCGCUCUUGGAUGGGCUCAUGUCCUAUCAGCUUGUUGGCGAGGUAACGGCUCACCAAGGCUUCGACGGGUAGCUGGUCUGAGAGGACGAUCAGCCACACUGGCACUGCGACACGGGCCAGACUCCUACGGGAGGCAGCAGUAAGGAAUAUUGCGCAAUGGGCGAAAGCCUGACGCAGCGACGCCGCGUGGGGGAUGAAGGUCUUUCGGAUUGUAAACCCCC